GUGGAGCUUGGGUUUGGUUCAAUCAGUGGAGCUUGCGACCCCAAAUUCUUUGGGCCGCAGUGGAGAGGCUUUUAAAGGCCUUUGUAUUAAAGGAUUUGAGGAUCGUUAAUGGCAUGUUGUGUCUAUGGAGGGCUAUAGUAUAAUUACAAUUCCAAUGUCACAGAAGCUGAAAUGGAGUUCACUGUACAGAAGUUGCCAACUCAAUUUUGUGUCCAAAAUACUCUCUACUGGCAAUGACAAAUAUUUGGGUCAGUAAUGAGCUUGAGGCAGGACAUCCAUUUUGUGAUAUUAAUGGUAACAGAUCACAGAGAACACAUAUCUUGAAGAGCUAAGGGAAAAUAAAGAGGAAUAGAUGUUGCCAUUAAAUGAAUGAAAAAUAGUUAUUUUACGUGUUGCUCAUUGGAGCAAUGAGCAAGGAAGAUUGUUGAGAUUUCUUUCCUUCGAUGGUUCUAUCAAGUGAAAGUUAAUGAUUAAUUGUAAGGAUAUGAACGAGUCAAUUAUGAAAGUUUCAAUUGCAAUGUGAAAGUCAA